UACGUAGGGCGCAAGCGUUAUCCGGAAUUAUUGGGCGUAAAGAGCUCGUAGGCGGUUUGUCGCGUCUGCCGUGAAAGUCCGGGGCUCAACUCCGGAUCUGCGGUGGGUACGGGCAGACUAGGAGUGAUGUAGGGGAGACUGGAAUUCCUGGUGUAGCGGUGAAAUGCGCAGAUAUCAGGAGGAACACCGAUGGCGAAGGCAGGUCUCUGGGCAUUAACUGACGCUGAGGAGCGAAAGCAUGGGGAGCGAACAGG
rnacentral:rRNA from 1 species